UACGUAGGGGGCUAGCGUUGUUCGGAAUUACUGGGCGUAAAGCGCACGUAGGCGGGUCGUUAAGUCAGGGGUGAAAUCCCAGAGCUCAACUCUGGAACUGCCUUUGAUACUGGCGACCUAGAGUCCGGAAGAGGUUAGUGGAAUUCCCAGUGUAGAGGUGAAAUGCGCAGAUAUCAGGAAGAACACCCGUGGCGAAGGCGGCUCUCUGGGACGGUACUGACGCUGAGACGCGAAAGCGUGGGGAGCGAACAGG
rnacentral:rRNA from 1 species